AACGAACGCUGGCGGCGUGGAUAAGACAUGCAAGUCGAGCGCUGAUUGCAAAGUAGCAAUAUUUUGCAGUCGGAGCGGCGCAAGGGUGCGUAACACGUGGGUAAUCUGCCAUGAAGUUUGGGAUAACUUGCUGAAAGGCGAGCUAAUACCGGAUGUGAAAAUUGGGAGGCCUCUCUUGAUUUUUAAAGUUGGGGACCGUAAGGCCUGACGCUUCAUGAUGAGCCCGCGGCCUAUCAGCUAGUUGGUGAGGUAACGGCUCACCAAGGCUAAGACGGGUAGCUGGUCUGAGAGGACGACCAGCCACACUGGAACUGAGACACGGUCCAGACACCUACGGGUGGCAGCAGUCGAGAAUUUUUCACAAUGGGCGCAAGCCUGAUGGAGCGACGCCGCGUGGGGGAUGAAUGGCUUCGGCCCGUAAACCCCUGUCAUUUGCGAUCAAACCUUGUUAUUUAAAAGAUGACGAGCUGAUAGUAGCGAAAGAGGAAGGGACGGCUAACUCUGUGC
rnacentral:rRNA from 1 species